rnacentral:rRNA from 1 species
UACAGAGGUCUCAACCGUUGUUCGGAUUCAUUGGGCGUAAAGGGUGCGUAGGCGGUCGAGCAAGUCGGAUGUGAAAUCUCAGGGCUCAACCCUGAAACUGCAUUCGAUACUGCGUGGCUAGAGUGCUGGAGGGGAGACUGGAAUUUACGGUGUAGCAGUGAAAUGCGUAGAUAUCGUAAGGAAGACCAGUGGCGAAGGCGAGUCUCUGGACAGCAACUGACGCUGAGGCACGAAGGCCAGGGGAGCAAACGGG